rnacentral:tRNA from 1 species
GCUCGUGUAGCUCAGUGGUUAGAGCUUCGUGCUUAUAGCAACAUUCGGUUUCCGAAGUUUCUGUGCCAGAGACCUUUCAAACAGGCCUUUAAAAGCAACGCGAACCGUCGUGGGUUCAAACCCCACCUCGAGCA